rnacentral:rRNA from 1 species
CCUACGGGAGGCAGCAGUGAGGAAUAUUGGUCAAUGGACGCGAGUCUGAACCAGCCAAGUAGCGUGAAGGAUGACUGCCCUAUGGGUUGUAAACUUCUUUUAUAUGGGAAUAAAACGUUCCACGUGUGGGAUUUUGUAUGUACCAUAUGAAUAAGGAUCGGCUAACUCCGCGCCAGCAGCCGCGGUAAUACGGAGGAUCCGAGCGUUAUCCGGAUUUAUUGGGUUUAAAGGGAGCGUAGGUGGAUUGUUAAGUCAGUUGUGAAAGUUUGCGGCUCAACCGUAAAAUUGCAGUUGAAACUGGCAGUCUUGAGUACAGUAGAGGUGGGCAGAAUUCGUGGUGUAGCGGUGAAAUGCUUAGAGAUCACGAAGAACUCCAAUUGCGAAGGCAGUUCACUGGACUGCAACUGACACUGAGGCGCGAAAGUGUGGGUAUCAAACAGGAUUAGAUACCCGGGUAGUC